rnacentral:pre_miRNA from 1 species
GCUCGGUUGCCGUGGUUGCAGACCGGGCCCGCCUGCUAGCCCGCUGACAGCGAGGCUUAGGGCCGAGGGAAGCGGGUCGGUGGGUCCGUCGGGAACUAGG